ensembl:lncRNA
GCGCGUUGUCUACCUUAUUGGAUCCGUCGGUGUUGUUCUAGUGAACUCUGUUGCACUGAUGACAGAACUGAUCAUGAAAGUGGGUAAGUUAACACACAACCUUUUAACAUCACUCUGAACACUGAGAGGAAGUGAAUCAGUUUAAUGCGAAUCAAGGUGUGCGAUAACAACAGUAUAACCAAAACACACUCUUUUUUUCUCAAAAUGCACCAGACACAUUCUUAUAAACACUCCAUGUUACAAGAACUUCAUAAGGACUUAACAAAUGUUUACUUGUGAAUGCACCACAAAUCAUAUUGCACUAAUUGCUUCUUAACCUUAAAUACCUCUUUUGCACAAUAUCAUGCGCAGUUAUUAUGUAAAGUACUUGUAUAGUCUGUCUUACGUUAUGUAUAUGUGUAGUCCACUAUAUAUAGUAUAUGUAUAGUUAGAUAACCGCUUUCAGUAAGUUAGCUAUGUAUAGGUUUAAACAUUGUUCUUAUGUCUAGUUUUGUAUGUUUAUAUUAUGUUUAUUUAUGUAGCACCGUGGCCUUGAGACAUGACACUUUGUUCCACUGUAUGUCCACACAUGUAGCGGAAAGCUCGACUCGACUCGAUAUUUAGGGCUACAUCUUUUACAAUUACACUAUGUUCCCAUCUCCACAUUUUAUAAGACUGACGUCACAUCAUGUUAAUGUGACGUGAGCUCAUUGCAAAACACCGGUGUCAUUCAAGAACUUCUACACUUGGUGGGUUUUGACACUUGAAUUUUGUUUUAGAGUGUUAUACUAGAAUAUGUGAAAUGUUAAAGUGAAUGCAGAGUUAUCACAGAACAAACACACUUUACAAAUAGAGGAGUUUGUGUGGUUUAGAGUGAUCCAACUUUGUACUCACUGUAGCAUCUUGAAUCCUCAGUUGAUGGUGAGCGUGCGAUGGAGGAUCUGAGAAAAGUUGUCUUUUCCUCCGAAUGCCUCUUUGUCUCUUCUGUGCUGCUGUUAAUCAUUUUCGAACCUUACAUUAAAACGUUUCAGCAGCAUUUCCAGGUUAGUAUCAUAUAUUUAAAGUUUGAUAUGAGAUUUGAUAUGUAUUUGAUACUGAUUAAUAUGGGAUUUACAGCAAACGGAUCUUAUGUAUAAUGUUGCAUUAAUUUGAGAUUUGUAAGUAAACCUGCAUUAUAGAUGAAAUUAUCAUGAUGUGACCGCACUUUUCCACACUGUAAAAAACAAACAAAUUGUGACAUUUAUGGUAAAAUACCAGCAGCUGUGGUCGCAAGAACUUCACCGUAAAAAAUAUGGU